GACAUUUGGUAGAGACUGUUGAAGUACCUGGUCCCAGCAGGCCCCGGAAGGCAGCCACAUUCGCUGGUGCUGGGGCAAAGUCAUUGGGGGUGAAGCCUGGUGCCAGAUGUAU
ensembl:rRNA 5S_rRNA 5S ribosomal RNA